rnacentral:rRNA from 1 species
CCUACGGGAGGCAGCAGUGAGGAAUAUUGGUCAAUGGACGAGAGUCUGAACCAGCCAAGUAGCGUGAAGGAUGACUGCCCUAUGGGUUGUAAACUUCUUUUAUAUGGGAAUAAAAUGUUCCACGUGUGAGAUUUUGUAUGUACCAUAUGAAUAAGGAUCGGCUAACUCCGUGCCAGCAGCCGCGGUAAUACGGAGGAUCCGAGCGUUAUCCGGAUUUAUUGGGUUUAAAGGGAGCGUAGGUGGAUUGUUAAGUCAGUUGUGAAAGUUUGCGGCUCAACCGUAAAAUUGCAGUUGAAACUGGCAGUCUUGAGUACAGUAGAGGUGGGCGGAAUUCGUGGUGUGGCGGUGAAAGGCUUAGAUAUCACGAAGAACUCCGAUUGCGAAGGCAGCUCACUGGACUGCAACUGACACUGAGGCUCGAAAGUGUGGGUAUCAAACAGGAUUAGAUACCCGUGUAGUC